CUCCAGGCUCCCACACACGUUAGGUGCACUGUGUAUGUUAGGUUACAGUUCGUUAUACUGGGUGGGUUUAUAUUACAUGUAGAGACCAUUAUAUUUUAAUACCUUGUCUCAAGUUGUAGCGGAGAGGCAGUAUAAUCCACGAUAUCUCCGCUGGGUAACAGGAACAACAAAGGAUAAUCCAGGGAAUCAGCAUACAAUAAUCCAAACAGCACUGCAGUAACCCCUCUUUCCCAAGAACUAGACGACACAGGCUGGGAGUCAACUGAGGUCUUUUAAUUCAGCUCCACAAUUUAUACAAGUCCCCAUGAAAGGGGUUCCUGAGUCCCCUCCCAGGGGCAUUCCCAGAGGGGACUACAUGGGGGACUUACAGUACAGGGCAUUUAUCCCAUCAGGCACUGCUGCACGAGAGGGAUCCUCCCACUGGAAUAUACCGUUAAGUGGAUUAUCCCUCCAUGCAGCAGAACUCACAAUUCACCUUAAAUUCAAUAACUCUAUGAAUAUCUGGUUCACUUAAACGAAUGGACGUUCGGUAAAUAGCUGGGGUCUGAGCGCAUCAUUCGUGAGAUUACCGCUCAGAUCCCAGCUAAAACAACCGAAAGCCGCACGAAAAACACAUUCACUAACACAUAGCCUUAAAAUACCGAUUACAUAUAGUGAAACAAAAUACCGAAUGUCCCGGACCUCCCAAACGGUCUUGAGGCUCAGCGGUGUUCGCGCCGUUGAGUAGCCGUUUUUAGUUCCACGCGCUCGAUGACCAAACACCGCUGAGGGAACAAAGGAUCCAAGAGGGCCGCCCGCCGCAUGGUCGGUAGUCGAACGACGGCCACCCAGGAGAGCAUUGUUGCAAUCGGUUAAUAGGCGCCACACGCCUUUAAGUGUGUGGGCUAUUAAAUGAUAUGUUGUUCGGUUCCCGAACGGCCCACAAAGGUGCCGUUCGUGAAACGAAAGGAAUCCGCUAUCUGCGUUCGGCAGAUAGCCCAGGCAGGCAAUACAUUAUUAACAUUGCAUUACAUUACACGCUAUAACACACAAUAGGAACCCCAUAUCGGCAACCCUUAAAGGGACCGUACAAAAUAAUGUCCAAGUGGCUAGGUUUGCCACAAUGCUCCCCCAGAACCAAGCCGGCAUACACAGUCUGAUCCCAACGGAUCGGCUUGAGGAUGUCCGGAGGAGUACUCACGAAUCACGGCUCCAAGUCUGUUUGUCUAGACAACCCGUCGGCGUUGCCAUUUUGCUUCCCAGGGCAGUAGUGGAUGGUAAAGUCAAAAGGCUGCAGCGCCAAACUCCAGCGCAGCAGCCUGGCAUUGUCUCCUGACACCCUGUUCAGCCACACCAACGGGUUGUGAUCCGUGAGUAAAGUAAACGGUUGUCCGUAUAAGUAGGGUUGCAACUUUUUGAGGGCCCACACCACAGCCAGGCACUCUUUUUCAAAUUUCGGCGUAGCUUACUUCCCUGGGUGAAAGCUUUCGGCUCAGUACUGCUCCCAAUGCAAACAUAGAAGCAUCUGUGUGGACGAGAAAGCGUUUAGUUGGAUCAGGAGCAGAAAGUACAGGAGAGUUAACAAUUGCCGUCUUGAGCUGUUGAAACGCCUGCUCACACUCUGGGGCCCAGACCACUAACUUAGGGAGAUUCUUGCGGGUCAGGUCUGUGAGGGGUUUGGCAAGGGCGCUAUAGUUGGCCACAAAUUUCCGGUAGUACCCAGCGGUCCCUAAAAAGUCGAGCACUUGGGUCUUGGUGCGAGGGGUAGGCCAUUGGGCGACUGCCUCUAUUUUAGCGGGUUCGGGCUUCUGUUGCCCACUCCCUACCCGGUGCCCUAGGUACUGGACUUCCGCCAUACCGAUAUGGCAUUUGCUGGGCUUUAGGGUUAGUCCAGCUUCUCGGAUUCGAUCUAGGAUGGCUCCUAUGUGGACCAGAUGUUCGUGCCAGGAGUGGCUGAAUAUGGCGAUAUCAUCUAGAUACGCUCAGGCAUACUCCUGGAACCCAUCUAAUAAUCUGUCUACCAUUCUCUGAAAGGUAGCUGGGGCGUUUUUCAUCCCGAAUGGCAUGACCUUAAACUGAUACAGGCCAAACGGGGUGACAAAGGCCGACUUAGGAAUGGCGUCCUCCGCUAACG